UACGGAGGGGGCAAGCGUUGUUCGGAUUUACUGGGCGUAAAGGGCGCGUAGGCGGCACGACAAGUCAGAGGUGAAAGCCCUGGGCUCAACCCGGGAGGUGCCUCUGGGACUGCAGUGCUAGAGUUCGGAAGAGGAUGGCGGAAUACCCAGUGUAGAGGUGAAAUUCGUAGAUAUUGGGAAGAACACCGGUGGCGAAGGCGGCCAUCUGGUCCGGCACUGACGCUGAGGCGCGAAAGCGUGGGGAGCAAACAGG
rnacentral:rRNA from 1 species